rnacentral:rRNA from 1 species
UUAGGACGAACGCUGGCGGCGUGCCUAAUACAUGCAAGUCGAACGGUCUUUUCUAUGGAAGCUUGCUUCCACUGAGAAGAUAGUGGCGAACGGGUGGGUAACACGUGGGUAACCUGCCCAUAAGAGGGGGGAUAACAUCCGGAAACGGGUGCUAAUACCGCAUAGUUUUCUUGAUCGCAUGAUCGGGAAAGGAAAGACGGCCUUUGUGCUGUCGCUUAUGGAUGGACCCGCGGCGUAUUAGUUAGUUGGUGAGGUAACGGCUCACCAAGACGAUGAUACGUAGCCGACCUGAGAGGGUGAUCGGCCACAUUGGGACUGAGACACGGCCCAAACUCCUACGGGAGGCAGCAGUAGGGAAUCUUCCGCAAUGGACGAAAGUCUGACGGAGCAACGCCGCGUGAGUGAAAGAAGGUUUUCGGAUCGUAAAACUCUGUUGUCAGAGAAGAACAAGUUGGAGAGUAACUGCUCCAGCCUUGACGGUAUCUGACCAGAAAGCCACGGCUAACUACGUGCCAGCCGCCGC